UACGUAGGUGGCAAGCGUUAUCCGGAAUUAUUGGGCGUAAAGAGGGAGCAGGCGGUAACAAAGGUCUGUGGUGAAAGCCUGAAGCUUAACUUCAGUAAGCCAUAGAAACCAGGUAACUAGAGUGCAAGAGAGGAUCGUGGAAUUCCAUGUGUAGCGGUGAAAUGCGUAGAUAUAUGGAGGAACACCAGUGGCGAAGGCGACGAUCUGGCUUGUAACUGACGCUGAGUCCCGAAAGCGUGGGGAGCAAAUAGG
rnacentral:rRNA from 1 species